rnacentral:rRNA from 1 species
UUGUGUGUUAGUGGAACGGUCAGGAAAGUCCGACGGUACAGGGUGAUAGUCCCGUACACCAAAAUGCACAGGCUGUGAACUCGAUGAGUAGGGCGGGACACGUGGUAUCCUGUCUGAAUAUGGGGGGACCAUCCUCCAAGGCUAAAUACUCCUGACUGACCGAUAGUGAACCAGUACCGUGAGGGAAAGGCGAAAAGAACCCCGGCGAGGGGAGUGAAAAAGAACCUGAAACCGUGUACGUACAAGCAGUGGGAGCACCUUCGGGUGUGACUGCGUACCUUUAGUAUAAUGGGUCAGCGACUUAUAUUCUGUAGCAAGGGUAACCGUAUAGGGU